rnacentral:rRNA from 1 species
CCUACGGGAGGCUGCAGUAGGGAAUAUUGCUCAAUGGGGGAAACCCUGAAGCAGCAAAGCCGCGUGGAGGAUGAAGGUUUUCGGAUUGUAAACUCCUUUUGUUAGAGAAGAUAAUGACGGUAUCUAACGAAUAAGCACCGGCCAACUCCGUGCCAGGAGCCGCGGUAAUACGGAGGGUGCCAGCGUUACUCGGAAUCACUGGGCGUAAAGAGGGCGUAGGCGGGAUAGCAAGUCAGAUGUGAAAACCUCGGGAUUAACCAUAGAAGUGCAUUUGAAACUGGUAUUCUAGAGUAUGGGAGAGGUAGGUGGAAUGCUUGGUGUAGGGGUAAAAUCCGUAGAUAUCACGAGGAAUACUCAUUGCGAAGGCGACCUGCUAGAACAUAACUGACGCUGAUGCGCGAAGGCGUGGGGAGCGAACAGGAUUAGAUACCCUAGUAGUC